GGGGGAUAACUAUUGGAAACGAUAGCUAAUACCGCAUAAGAGAGACUAACGCAUGUUAGUAAUUUAAAAGGGGCAAUUGCUCCACUAUGAGAUGGACCUGCGUUGUAUUAGCUAGUUGGUGAGGUAAAGGCUCACCAAGGCGACAAUACAUAGCCGACCUGAGAGGGUGAUCGGCCACACUGGGACUGAGACACGGCCCAG
rnacentral:rRNA from 1 species